rnacentral:rRNA from 1 species
UACGUAGGGGGCAAGCGUUGUCCGGAAUCAUUGGGCGUAAAGCGCGCGUAGGCGGCCCGGUAAGUCCGCUGUAAAAGUCCAGGGCUCAACCCUGGAAAGCCGGUGGAUACUGUCGGGCUAGAGUCCGGAAGAGGCGAGUGGAAUUCCUGGUGUAGCGGUGGAAUGCGCAGAUAUCAGGAGGAACACCGAUGGCGAAGGCAGCUCGCUGGGACGGUACUGACGCUGAGGCGCGAAGCGUGGGGAGCGAACAGG